rnacentral:rRNA from 3 species
AAAUUGAAGAGUUUGAUCAUGGCUCAGAUUGAACGCUGGCGGCAGGCCUAACACAUGCAAGUCGAACGGUAACAGGAAGCAGCUUGCUGCUUCGCUGACGAGUGGCGGACGGGUGAGUAAUGUCUGGGAAACUGCCUGAUGGAGGGGGAUAACUACUGGAAACGGUGGCUAAUACCGCAUAACGUCGCAAGACCAAAGAGGGGGACCUUCGGGCCUCUUGCCAUCAGAUGUGCCCAGAUGGGAUUAGCUUGUUGGUGAGGUAAUGGCUCACCAAGGCGACGAUCCCUAGCUGGUCUGAGAGGAUGACCAGCCACACUGGAACUGAGACACGGUCCAGACUCCUACGGGAGGCAGCAGUGGGGAAUAUUGCACAAUGGGCGCAAGCCUGAUG